CUAGAGCAAGGCGACGCUGGAACCGCAGGCGCUGGGGAUUGUGGUAGUUGUAGUCACGCGUCUCGGCGGAGGCUUGGGCGCCCUCCUCUCUAGGAACUUCGACAUCUGGCCGGUCCUUCUCGAGUCUCUCCACCUCGCCCUGCCAGCCCUGUUUUAUUCCCGAGCCUGCUCGCGGGCCCCUAAGGCGUCCUCUCUGGCAGCCGUGCGUCCUAGCCUGUGGCGGGUGGCGCCGCGCGUGCCCUCUGCCUCACCUUGCUCACGGCGUCUCUCCGCCCCAGUGCGCCUGUUGGCGCUCGCUCCGCUGCCUGGCUAACACCUGCUGUCCUCCGAAAUCGUCCUUCCGGCAAGCCUUCCCUAACCCAGUGGCAGGGAAGCGCGUUUGCUGGGCUCCCGCGAUGUCCUGGUGAUGCUUAUUAAGCUUCACUUACAGCUCUGCCUCCACCAUUAGACUAGGCAUUCCCUGAGGGCAGGGACCACAUCUCCUUUGUUCACCUUCAAUACCCUCGACAAUGCCACUGUGACCAGAUUCUCAACAAAUGUGGGGAAGAAGAGGCGAGUCUUUUCAUUUCACCCCUCUCCACCUUUAGGGCCCAGCAACCCCACUUGCUUGAAGCAUCCGCCAUGUUGGUUCAUGUUUAAGCCCAAAGGUCUUUUUCACUCCUUUUCUCCUGACAAUUAUUUUUUCCUCCAAAAGAUCCAGCAUAGGUGUUAUGCCCUCUGGGAAGCCUCCUCUUAGUCCUUGUCAGGUAUCUCCUGUGGGAUCCAGCUGUCCCUGGGGCUUCCCUCCUCCCAGAUAGAGCUGUUUCACUGUGUACUGACUGCGUAUUUAACUCUCUUUCCAGGUACACUGGAAAGGAAUCUGGUUAAAUACAGUUAACAUCUACAUCCCAGGACCAGUGCAGGACCUGCAGUAUUUCAUGAAUUAAAAAGAAACACAAAGAGAAAA